CACGUAGGCACCAAGCGUUGUCCGGAUUUAUUGGGCGUAAAGAGCUCGUAGGCGGUCUGUCGCGUCGGCUGUGAAAACCUAAGGCUCAACCUUGGGCUUGCAGUGGGUACGGGCAGACUAGAGUGCGGUAGGGGUGACUGGAAUUCCUGGUGUAGCGGUGGAAUGCGCAGAUAUCAGGAGGAACACCGAUGGCGAAGGCAGGUCUCUGGGCCACUACUGACGCUGAGAAGCGAAAGCAUGGGGAGCGAACAGG
rnacentral:rRNA from 1 species